rnacentral:rRNA from 1 species
UACGGGGGGAGCAAGCGUUGUUCGGAUUUACUGGGCGUAAAGGGCGCGCAGGCGGCUGCUCAAGUCAGGCGUGAAAGGCCUGGGCUCAACCCGGGAAUUGCGCUUGAGACUGGGCUGGCUUGAGUGCGGGAGAGGAUGGUGGAAUUCCCAGUGUAGAGGUGAAAUUCGUAGAUAUUGGGAAGAACACCGGUGGCGAAGGCGGCCAUCUGGACCGCAACUGACGCUGAGGCGCGAAAGCGUGGGGAGCAAACAGG